rnacentral:ncRNA from 1 species
CAACCUCAACUCAUAUGGGACUACCCCCUGAAUUUAAGCAUAUUAAUUAGGGGAGGAAAAGAAACUAACAAGGAUUUUCUUAGUAGCGGCGAGCGAAAAGAAAUCAGUUCAGCACUAAGUCACUUUGUCUAUAUGGCAAAUGUGAGAUGCAGUGUACGGAACAUCAACAUUCUAGUAUGAGAAGUUAACGAUUUAAGUCCUUCUUAAAUGAGGCCAUUUACCCAUAGAGGGUGCCAGGCCCGUAUAACGUUAAUGAUUACUAGAUGGUGUUUCCAAAGAGUCGUGUUGCUUGAUAGUGCAGCACUAAGUGGGUGGUAAACUCCAUCUAAAACUAAAUAUAACCAUGAGACCGAUAGUAAACAAGUACCGUGAGGGAAAGUUGAAAAGAACUCUGAAUAGAGAGUUAAAUAGUACGUGAAACUGCUUAGAGGUUAAGCCCGAUGAACCUGAAUAUCCGUUAUGGAAAAUUCAUCAUUAGAAUUGUAAUAUUUUAAACAAUAUUAUAAUAAUAGUGUGCAUUUUUUCCAUAUAAGGACAUUGUAAUCUAUUAGCAUAAAUAUUUAUCAUAAAAUUAUGUCUGAUUGCUUAUUUGAAUUAUAUGCUUGGCAUUUUAACAUAAAAUAAAAGAUAUAAAUUUGAUAAAGUGCUGAUAGAUUUAUAUGAUUACAGUGCGUUAAUUUUUCGGAAUUAUAUAAUGGCAUAAUUAUCAUUGAUAUUUGUGUUUAUUAUAUGCAUUUGUAUGAUUAACAAUGCGAACGAUUCAGGAUACCUUCGGG